UACGUAGGGCGCGAGCGUUGUCCGGAUUUAUUGGGCGUAAAGAGCGUGUAGGCGGCUUUACAGGUCCGUUGUGAAAACUCGAGGCUCAACCUCGAGACGCCGGUGGAAACCGUAAGGCUAGAGUCCGGAAGAGGAGAGUGGAAUUCCUGGUGUAGCGGUGAAAUGCGCAGAUAUCAGGAGGAACACCCGUGGCGAAAGCGGCUCUCUGGGACGGUACUGACGCUGAGACGCGAAAGCGUGGGGAGCAAACAGG
rnacentral:rRNA from 1 species